rnacentral:rRNA from 1 species
AUUGAACGCUGGCGGCAUGCCUUACACAUGCAAGUCGAACGGCAGCACGGGUGCUUGCACCUGGUGGCGAGUGGCGAACGGGUGAGUAAUACAUCGGAACAUGUCCUGUAGUGGGGGAUAGCCCGGCGAAAGCCGGAUUAAUACCGCAUACGAUCUACGGAUGAAAGCGGGGGACCUUCGGGCCUCGCGCUAUAGGGUUGGCCGAUGGCUGAUUAGCUAGUUGGUGGGGUAAAGGCCUACCAAGGCGACGAUCAGUAGCUGGUCUGAGAGGACGACCAGCCACACUGGGACUGAGACACGGCCCAGACUCCUACGGGAGGCAGCAGUGGGGAAUUUUGGACAAUGGGCGAAAGCCUGAUCCAGCAAUGCCGCGUGUGUGAAGAAGGCCCUCGGGUUGUAAAGCACUUUUGUCCGGAAAGAAAUCCUUGGCUCUAAUACAGUCGGGGGAUGACGGUACCGGAAGAAUAAGCACCGGCUAACUACGUG